UUGUGGGCGAUUCGACCGUUGUGUGCAGGACCGGAUCUGCGACAUCGAGUGCCCCGGAUGUAGGGGCAAGACUGAUUGCCACCACGCCGGGUCAUUAAUCGGACACUGCGUUUGUAAAAGCUGAACUUGGAACAUAAGAUCG